AUUGAACGCUGGCGGCAUGCCUUACACAUGCAAGUCGAACGGUAACGCGGGGCAACCUGGCGACGAGUGGCGAACGGGUGAGUAAUGUAUCGGAACGUGCCCAGUUGUGGGGGAUAACUGCUCGAAAGAGCAGCUAAUACCGCAUACGACCUGAGGGUGAAAGCGGGGGAUCGCAAGACCUCGCGCAAUUGGAGCGGCCGAUAUCAGAUUGGGUAGUUGGUGGGGUAAAGGCUCACCAAGCCGACGAUCUGUAGCUGGUCUGAGAGGACGACCAGCAACACUGGGACUGAGACACGGCCCAUACUCCUACGGGAGGCAGCAGUGGGGGAUUUUGGACAAUGGGCGCAAGCCUGAUCCAGCAAUGCCGCGUGCAGGAUGAAGGCCUUCGGGUUGUAAACUGCUUUUGUACGGAGCGAAAAGGCUUCCACUAAUACUGGGGGCUCAUGACGGUACCGUAAGAAUAAGCACCGGCUAACUACGUGCCAGCAGCCGCCGCGGUAA
rnacentral:rRNA from 1 species